rnacentral:snRNA from 1 species
AUCUCUGGCUCCUCUGCAUUUAAUCGAGAAAAUCUUUCGCCUUUUACUAAAGAUUUCCGUGCCAAGAAGCAUUUUAUGAGUAUACGAGAAUUUUUGGAAUCCCCUCGAAAAGCGGGGUG